CCUACGGGAGGCAGCAGUCGAGAAUCAUUCACAAUGGGGGAAACCCUGAUGGUGCGACGCCGCGUGGGGGAAUGAAGGUCUUCGGAUUGUAAACCCCUGUCAUGUGGGAGCAAAUUAGAAAGAUAGUACCACAAGAGGAAGAGACGGCUAACUCUGUGCCAGCAGCCGCGGUAAUACAGAGGUCUCAAGCGUUGUUCGGAAUCAGUGGGCGUAAAGUGUGCGUAGGCUGUUUCGUAAGUCGUGUGUGAAAGGCGCGGGCUCAACCCGCGGACGGCACAUGAUACUGCGAGACUAGAGUAAUGGAGGGGUAAGCGGAAUGUUCGGUGUAGCAGUGAAAUGCGUAGAUAUCGAGAGGAACACUCGUGGCGAAGGCGGGUUCCUGGACAUUAACUGACGCUGAGGCACGAAGGCGAGGGGAGCGAAAGGGAUUAGAUACCCGAGUAGUC
rnacentral:rRNA from 1 species